UGGGGAAUAUUGCACAAUGGGCGCAAGCCUGAUGCAGCCAUGCCGCGUGUAUGAAGAAGGCCUUCGGGUUGUAAAGUACUUUCAGCGGGGAGGAAGGUGUUGAGGUUAAUAACCUCAGCAAUUGACGUUACCCGCAGAAGAAGCACCGGCUAACUCCGUGCCAGCAGCCGCGGUAAUACGGAGGGUGCAAGCGUUAAUCGGAAUUACUGGGCGUAAAGCGCACGCAGGCGGUCUGUCAAGUCGGAUGUGAAAUCCCCGGGCUCAACCUGGGAACUGCAUUCGAAACUGGCAGGCUAGAGUCUUGUAGAGGGGGGUAGAAUUCCAGGUGUAGCGGUGAAAUGCGUAGAGAUCUGGAGGAAUACCGGUGGCGAAGGCGGCCCCCUGGACAAAGACUGACGCUCAGGUGCGAAAGCGUGGGAGCAAACA
rnacentral:rRNA from 1 species